rnacentral:rRNA from 1 species
GACGAACGCUGGCGGCGUGCUUAACACAUGCAAGUCGAACGGAAAGGCCCUGCUUUUGUGGGGUGCUCGCGUGGCGAACGGGUGAGUAACACGUGAGUAACCUGCCCUUGACUUUGGGAUAACUUCAGGAAACUGGGGCUAAUACCGGAUAGGAGCUCCUGCUGCAUGGUGGGGGUUGGAAAGUUUCGGCGGUUGGGGAUGGACUGGCGGCUUAUCAGCUUGUUGGGGGGGUAGUGGCUUACCAAGGGUUUGACGGGUAGUCGGCCUGAGAGGGUGACCGGCCACAUUGGGCCUAAGAGACGGCCCAGACUCGAACGGGAGGCAGCGGGGGGAAAUAUUGCACAGUGGGCGGACGCCUGAUGCGGCAGCGCCGGGUGCGGGAUGACGGCUUUGGGGUGGUAAACCGCUUUCACCUGUGACGAAGCGGGAGUGACGGUAAUGGGUAAAGAAGCACCGGCUAACUACGUG